rnacentral:rRNA from 1 species
GACGAACGCUGGCGGCGUGCCUAAUACAUGCAAGUAGAACGCUGAAGAGAGGAGCUUGCUCUUCUUGGAUGAGUUGCGAACGGGUGAGUAACGCGUAGGUAACCUGCCUUGUAGCGGGGGAUAACUAUUGGAAACGAUAGCUAAUACCGCAUAACAAUGGAUGACCCAUGUCAUUUAUUUGAAAGGGGCAAAUGCUCCACUACAAGAUGGACCUGCGUUGUAUUAGCUAGUAGGUGAGGUAACGGCUCACCUAGGCGACGAUACAUAGCCGACCUGAGAGGGUGAUCGGCCACACUGGGACUGAGACACGGCCCAGACUCCUACGGGAGGCAGCAGUAGGGAAUCUUCGGCAAUGGGGGCAACCCUGACCGAGCAACGCCGCGUGAGUGAAGAAGGUUUUCGGAUCGUAAAGCUCUGUUGUAAGUCAAGAACGAGUGUGAGAGUGGAAAGUUCACACUGUGACGGUAGCUUACCAGAUAGGGACGGCUAACUACGUG